GGAUUAGCUAGUAGGUGAGGUAACGGCUUACCUAGGCGACGAUCCCUAGCUGGUCUGAGAGGAUGAUCAGCCACACUGGGACUGAGACACGGCCCAGACUCCUACGGGAGGCAGCAGUGGGGAAUAUUGCACAAUGGGCGCAAGCCUGAUGCAGCCAUGCCGCGUGUAUGAAGAAGGCCUUCGGGUUGUAAAGUACUUUCAGUCGGGAGGAAGGUGUCAAGGUUAAUAACCUUGGCAAUUGACGUUACCGACAGAAGAAGCACCGGCUAACUCCGUGCCAGCAGCCGCGGUAAUACG
rnacentral:rRNA from 1 species